GUAGGUGGCAAGCGUUGUCCGGAAUUAUUGGGCGUAAAGCGCGCGCAGGCGGUCCUUUAAGUCUGAUGUGAAAGCCCACGGCUCAACCGUGGAGGGUCAUUGGAAACUGGGGACUUGAGUACAGAAGAGGAAAGCGGAAUUCCAAGUGUAGCGGUGAAAUGCGUAGAGAUUUGGAGGAACACCAGUGGCGAAGGCGGCUUUCUGGUCUGUAACUGACGCUGAGGCGCGAAAGCGUGGGGAGCAAACAGGGAUUAGAUACCCUGGUAGUCCACGCCGUAAACGAUGAGUGCUAAGUGUUAGGGGGUUUCCCGCCCCCUUAGUGCUGCAGCUAACGCAUUAAGCACUCCGCCUGGGGAGUACGGCCGCAAGGCUG
rnacentral:rRNA from 1 species